GCUUAAAAUCUCCGGGUUAUUACUCGGCGAAUUGUAGUCUAUGGAAGCGAUGUCAGAGGCGUCGGCAGGUUCAAGUUCCUUGGAAGAGGACAGCAUGGAGGGUUACACUCCCGUUUGAGCCGAGUCGAUGUCACGUACGACACGCUCUCUUCGAGUCGCGUUGUUUGGGAUUGCAGCGCAAAGUAGGUGGUAAACUCCAUCGAAAGCUAAAUACCGGUAGAGACCGAUAGCGAACAAGUACCGUGAGGGAAAGAUGAAAAGAACUUUGAAAAGAGAGUUAAAAGUACCUGAAACUGCUGAAAGGGAAGCGAAUCGCGUCUACUGUCCCUUCGCGUGCAUCGCGUGCUGUGGUCCUCGGGCGACAGGACGUUGUGUCGCGGUGGAGUCAGAGUCAGUUCCAAGUCCGCGACCUGGGUCGGGCGAUAAAGGUAGGAAUCCCGCGUAGCGGGAUCCGCAUCACUCUCCCGGGUCGGGUCGUGGUUGGGACUGAGGUGUCGACAACAUGCAAUCAAGUGCGUUGCGCGGGCCCUCGCGUGAUUGGAGGAAAGUUCGCUGGAAUCCGUAUCGUCGCGGAGGCACGGGUGGCGAUUAACUUGCGCUGUUCGGGACUCUGGCAUAAUGGAGCGAUUCGACCCGUCUUGAAACACGGACCAAGGAGUCUAACAUGUGUGCGAGUGUUUGGGUGAGAAACCCCGACGCGGAAUGAAAGUGAAGGGCGUAAGUCUGAGGUAGGAAGGUCCGUUCGUCGGACUGGCACUAUCGACCGAUCGAAAGCUCUCGGGCGAACGAUUUGAGUUGGAGCAUAUAUGUUGGUACCCGAAAGAUGGUGAACUAUGCCUGAGUAGGUGAAGCCAGGG
rnacentral:rRNA from 1 species